UGAGGAAAUAGUUUAAUUUGGCAAAACGAUAGUCUCCAAAACUAUUAUUUAGGGUUCGAGUCCCUAUUUCCUUGG
rnacentral:tRNA from 1 species